rnacentral:rRNA from 1 species
CAGUAGCCGCGGUAAUACGAAGGGUGCAAGCGUUAAUCGGAAUUACUGGGCGUAAAGCGUGCGUAGGCGGUGAGUUAAGUCUGUUGUGAAAUCCCCGGGCUCAACCUGGGAAUGGCAAUGGAUACUGGCAAGCUAGAGUGUGUCAGAGGAUGGUGGAAUUCCCGGUGUAGCGGUGAAAUGCGUAGAGAUCGGGAGGAACAUCAGUGGCGAAGGCGGCCAUCUGGGACAACACUGACGCUGAGGCACGAAAGCGCGGGGAGCGAGCAGGAUUAGAUACCCGGGUAGUCCCUGUCUCUUAUAC